rnacentral:lncRNA from 1 species
CUCUAACCAGGAAAGACUCCUGCUUGUGAGUCUGAAAUGAACAAGGCUCGAGAUCAAGAACAAGGAAGUCUUAGGUUUCCUCAGAAACGUAACCACAGAAUUCUAGAGAAGCUGAGACCAGGUGGAGUGAACUGAAUGUGAGAAUCAAAAGAACCUGAGAGGUGCACGUGGCGGAUUGUGCUAUAUGUUGUUGGUGCCUUGCAGAGAUCCU